rnacentral:misc_RNA from 1 species
AAUGGCCGGUGCACCAUGAAUUUCCCAUAGAUACGGUGCAGAACUGUUUUCAAAUACUCCCUCUCUCUAGGGUCCUCUGAAUCAAAAAGAUCUAACAACCUGAGAACAAAAGAGUGAUCAAUGUACCUCUUAGCCAAUUUUGCAUCUGUCUCAGGUGAUGCUAUAAACCUCAGAAGAAAUUCAUACACAACUUGCAAAUGAGGCCAUGCAGGGUCCAUUGAGGGCUCAUCCUCUUCCAAAUCA